CAUUCUGCCAAAACAAUGGAAUUUACACCUAACAUUUGGAAGUGCUUCUACCCACAAAUUACUCUAGAGAAGGAACCCAGCAGAGUGGACAAAGGCCCCUCCUUGGAAUCUGGAAAAACAUGAUCUUCUCUCUGAUACCUCCUGGCUACAUGGCUGUGGUCAAAUUACUUAACCUCUCACUGCUGCAGGGGAAAAGACACUUGAAGAUCAAGGGGAAAAAACUGACCAAGGAUUGAAGACUGAACAUAUUCUCCUGGAGGGUUGUACUGAUCUCAGAAAAUACAAAAACACUGAAAUAGGAGAGAACAGACUUGCAGCAGAGCUUGAGUUAUCAAACAUAGAAAGAUACCACUGAAGAUAUGAGAGAAUUUUGUUUUAAUAAUUGACAAGCCUAGUGGAAGGAAAGUAGCUUGGGAGGGCAUGAUGAAGAUAUCAUCAGAUGAGCACACUCUGACCUAUACUUCCUUUAUGACAUCAUGAAUUUGGAAAUUGUCCAUGAGAGCCAUAGGACAGCCAGAAAAGUGAGAAUGAAUAUGAAAUCUGCUCAUAAUAUAGCUGAUGUCUUCCAGAAGUAAGAAGGAAAGAAUGCAAAGAAUAUAGGAUAGCAACCCAGAAACUUGAUGAGGAUCGAGUGGUAAUGUCCCUAGAGAGUUUGCUUUUAAAAAUGCACACACAAGGAAACUCUCCAAGACACAGUAAUAGCUGAGACUCUUACAGCCAGAUUUAGAUUCCUCCAUCUGUUGCAGCAUGCAAAAGAAAUUGGUCUAUGAAAAUGGUGUUGCCAGAUCAGGAAAUAAACUUACAAGUGAAAGGAUUACAGUGUUUGUCUCAAGCCAGGCAAAGCUUCACAGUUCAGAAAAAGCAGAAACUGCUUCUAGUAGUAGUACAAAAAAUAGAUCUGAUUAUGCAAAACUCCAUGUGGCAACAGUUGUUUCAGGAAGACCCCCCAUCAUUACCACCACCAGAACCUUUUCUGAAAUGACUGCUUGGGACAUCUGUGCGACAUUAUGGAAAUACUGAAGAGACUUUGUAAGACAAAACUUCAUCUAAUGGGGAGAUAUGCUGCAAUUUCAACUCUUGUAUGGCUCUUAGAACCUGGAAGAAAGCAAAACAAG
rnacentral:lncRNA from 1 species